GGAAAUGACGCCAUAAUGCUGAGGAACCACUCCUGGCGUUGCGGAAGGUGGGGUGUGGGGCCGGAAGACCCUCCCCCCGCGUCUUCAGAGGAGCGCUGUUUCUGGAGGAGUUAGGGGAAGGAGGCUGCCUGGUAAGCCAGGAAAGGGGCUUCUGGCCGUUCUGUUGGAGCGCCUCUGACUGACUUCCCCCAUGUGUCCGUGUGGCCACACCGUGCUACUUUCAGAGGCAGUGGGCUUUUCGCUAAGGGAUAAAAAGAAGUAAAACCUUGCCUUUAGCGCAGCUCUCCUUCACUGGGCAGAUUGCUCUCCCUCCCCACUCUCCCAGGCCCAAAUUGGAUCUCAGCGCCUGGGAGCUCCAACUUUAGCAAGUGCGAAAUCCUGUCUUCGGUUUUGGAAUUUUCAUCCGCACAGACUAUAUCAGCCACGGAUAGGAUAUGUGAGAAUACCAGCAUGUCAAGGCUGGGAAUCAUCCUUAGGCAUCACCUAGCCAGUCCUGCCUCUCAUUUUAAGGUGAUCACAGGAUCUGGUUUGCCACUGAAAGGAAUCUUGAUGCUGACCACUUCACCUCGGAGAGCAUGAACUGCUCCCAUGCCUUCAAGAGUUUUAGUGGGUAACCAGGAUGGAACUGCGGUGUUGCUUGCAGGAGAAGCUUACUACUGGUUUCUACUUCUCCAACCUCAUUGGUGGCUAUGCAGGCACUGUCUCCAGACUGUCUAUAUUCAACCCAGUAUCCAAGAAUUUCUUUACCACCAUCACAUUCAGGUUUCUCCCACUGUAGAGUGACACUAUCUUUGGAUAUUGAAAGAAUCUCAAGUUCUCCUGGUUGGCUUGGUUUAUCUGAAAUAUUUUAAAAUAAUGAAAAGGGAGUCAGCUUUACUGGUGAAAUAAAAGGACCAAACAUGGCUUGCUUCUUUAAUUUAACCCCUUCUUCUGAAUUCCUUACCAAAUGGAUCUUUGCAAACAACUGGUUCAGAAGCAGGGCUGGUCUCACUCAGGCCAACAUCAUUCUGUGCGAUGAUGCGGAACUGAUACUCAGCAUCGGGAACAAGCCCUGUGACAGUGUACAUUGUGGUGGUGAUCUGAGUCUUGUUGUGUCUGACCCACUUGUCAGUGGAUGUCUCUUUGCGUUCGAUGUAGUAGCCUGUGACUCUAGAACCACCAUCAUCUUUGGGCCGGGACCAGGACAAGCUAACAGAACUCUUGGUUACAUCGAGUACUUCUGGAGGAUUGCUUGGAGGUUCUGGAGGAUCUGUAAAUAUAAGUGGAAAGCACACAUGUAUUAGAAUACAGUCCCAAGUAUUAUAAGCCAAUGACUUUCAUUUAAAAACAGAAAAGUGCUGAAAUAAUGUUUAUAAUUUUGUGGUUGAAAGGGCACUUACUCAAUGGUGUUUUUGGUGUGACUGGUUCCUCAGAUUUCAAGGGUUUGCUUAUGCCAAACUGGUUUUCUGCUGAAACACGGAAAUGGUAUUCUACAUUCUCUUUGAGGCCUUUUACCACCAGAGAUGUACCUCGGACUCUGGAAUCAAUGGUAUACCAGGCGGCUUUAGGCACUUCUCGUCUCUCGAGGAUGUAGCCUAAGAUGUCAGCACCACCAUCAUCAGCAGGAGGUCUCCAGCUGACCCUCACAGAGCGGACUUGGAUGUCAUCAUAUUCCAGUGGCCCUUCUGGACUGUUGGGACUUCCUAUCACCCUGACCUUGAUGUAGACAGCCUUCUUGCCACAUUUAUUUUCCAGAACCAGGUCAUAAGUGCCAGAAUCACCCCUGUCUGCUUCUUUGAUCACAAGCUCAGUGUGUGUUUCAGAUGUUGCAAUCAUGGCACGCUUACUAAUAUCCUGGCCUUCCUUGGUCCAUUUACAUAUUGGGAAUGGUUUUCCUUUGAUUGGUAUGCAGGCUCACCAGGUCCACCAGCAUUACAAGCUAGGACGCGGAACCUGUAUUCUGCACCCUGAGAAUCAGAGGUGGGGAGAGUGGUGGAAGGGCCUGUGGACUUACGGAUGCUGCUGCGACACUCUAUGACCUCAGACUGCAAGUAAGAGCCAAUCCCGAAGCGGUUUGUUGCAGCCACACGGAACACAUACUCAUUUCCUUCGGUGGCUGCCAUGAGAUAGUCAUGUGUUCAGGAGUAACAUCCAGAAUAUUAAUAGGACCUGUUGGUGGCCCAGGAACAUCAAGAACAGUAAGAUGUACGGCUACUGUUUUGCUACCGGCUGCAUUGGAAACUGUGAUUUGAUAUUCCCCAGUGUCUCUCCUUAAGCAGUUCUUAAUGAGAAUAGACGCCUUGAUGGCUCCUCUGGCAGUUCUUGAUGACCAUGGAUGAGCUAAUGGCUGUGGUCUCAAUGGUGGCUUCUUGAGGAGCAUGCAGAGAAAUUGCUUUAGCCUCUGAUAAAUAAAACAGACUGCGAGGAAAAUUACAGCGAGGAAAUUACAGACAUCAUCUCCUUUGAACAGGGAAAAGGUAACAGCCAGUAGCCAGUAAUUGGAGAGCCACCAUUGUCCAAAGGAGGAGUCCAG
rnacentral:lncRNA from 1 species